rnacentral:rRNA from 1 species
GGUUAAGCGACUAAGCGUACACGGUGGAUGCCCUGGCAGUCAGAGGCGAUGAAGGGCGUGCUAAUCUGCGAUAAGCGCCGGUAAGGUGAUAUGAACCGUUAUAACCGGCGAUACCCGAAUGGGGAAACCCAGUGUGAUUCGUCACACUAUCAUUAACUGAAUCCAUAGGUUAAUGAGGCGAACCGGGGGAACUGAAACAUCUAAGUACCCCGAGGAAAAGAAAUCAACCGAGAUUCCCCCAGUAGCGGCGAGCGAACGGGGAGGAGCCCAGAGCCUGAAUCAGCAUGUGUGUUAGUGGAAGCGUCUGGAAAGGCGCGCGAUACAGGGUGACAGCCCCGUACACAAAAGCGCAUAUGCUGUGAGCUCGAUGAGUAGGGCGGGACACGUGGUAUCCUGUCUGAAUAUGGGGGGACCAUCCUCCAAGGCUAAAUACUCCUGACUGACCGAUAGUGAACCAGUACCGUGAGGGAAAGGCGAAAAGAACCCCGGCGAGGGGAGUGAAAAAGAACCUGAAACCGUGUACGUACAAGCAGUGGGAGCCCCACCACUAAGCCAGUGGUGAACUCCACAUACGCAUCCUUUGCUGAGGAGACGGUUAACGGAGCGAAAGCGACGUUCAACCUCAAAAGAAGCAGAGGGGGCUUAGUGGUGGGGUGACUGCGUACCUUUUGUAUAAUGGGUCAGCGACUUAUAUUCUGUAGCAAGGUUAACUGUAUAGGGGAGCCGGAGGGAAACCGAGUCUUAACCGGGCGUUAAGUUGCAGGGUAUAGACCCGAAACCCGGUGAUCUAGCCAUGGGCAGGUUGAAGGUUGGGUAACACUAACUGGAGGACCGAACCGACUAAUGUUGAAAAAUUAGCGGAUGACCUGUGGCUGGGGGUGAAAGGCCAAUCAAACCGGGAGAUAGCUGGUUCUCCCCGAAAGCUAUUUAGGUAGCGCCUCGUGAAUUCAUCUCCGGGGGUAGAGCACUGUUUCGGCUAGGGGGCCAUCCCGGCUUACCAACCCGAUGCAAACUGCGAAUACCGGAGAAUGUUAUCACGGGAGACACACGGCGGGUGCUAAUGUCCGUCGUGAAGAGGGAAACAACCCAGACCGCCAGCUAAGGUCCCAAAGUCAUGGUUAAGUGGGAAACGAUGUGGGAAGGCCCAGACAGCCAGGAUGUUGGCUUAGAAGCAGCCAUCAUUUAAAGAAAGCGUAAUAGCUCACUGGUCGAGUCGGCCUGCGCGGAAGAUGUAACGGGGCUAAACCAUGCACCGAAGCUGCGGCAGCGACACCGUGUGUUGUUGGGUAGGGGAGCGUUCUGUAAGCCUGUGAAGGUGUGCUGUGAGGCAUGCUGGAGGUAUCAGAAGUGCGAAUGCUGACAUAAGUAACGAUAAAGCGGGUGAAAAGCCCGCUCGCCGGAAGACCAAGGGUUCCUGUCCAACGUUAAUCGGGGCAGGGUGAGUCGACCCCUAAGGCGAGGCCGAAAGGCGUAGUCGAUGGGAAACGGGUUAAUAUUCCCGUACUUGGUGUUACUGCGAAGGGGGGACGGAGAAGGCUAUGUUGGCCGGGCGACGGUUGUCCCGGUUUAAGCGUGUAGGUAUGUGUUCCAGGUAAAUCCGGUUCACUUUAACACUGAGGCGUGACGACGAGGCACUACGGUGCUGAAGCAACAAAUGCCCUGCUUCCAGGAAAAGCCUCUAAGCAUCAGGUAACAUCAAAUCGUACCCCAAACCGACAC